UAAACGACUCUCGGCAACGGAUAUCUCGGCUCUCGCAUCGAUGAAGAACGUAGCGAAAUGCGAUACUUGGUGUGAAUUGCAGAAUCCCGUGAACCAUCGAGUCUUUGAACGCAAGUUGCGCCCCAAGCCUUCUGGCCGAGGGCACGUCUGCCUGG
rnacentral:rRNA from 1 species